GAGUUUGAUCCUGGCUCAGGACGAACGCUGGCGGCGUGCCUAACACAUGCAAGUCGAGCGAGGAGAUUCCCUUCGGGGAUGAACCUAGCGGCGGACGGGUGAGUAACACGUGGGCAACCUGCCUUAUAGAGGGGAAUAGCCUUCCGAAAGGAAGAUUAAUACCGCAUAACAUUGCAUCUUCGCAUGAAGAAGUAAUUAAAGGAGCAAUCCGCUAUAAGAUGGGCCCGCGGCGCAUUAGCUAGUUGGUGAGGUAACGGCUCACCAAGGCGACGAUGCGUAGCCGACCUGAGAGGGUGAUCGGCCACAUUGGGACUGAGACACGGCCCAGACUCCUACGGGAGGCAGCAGUGGGGAAUAUUGCACAAUGGGGGAAACCCUGAUGCAGCAACGCCGCGUGAGUGAUGAAGGUCUUCGGAUCGUAAAGCUCUGUCUUCAGGGACGAUAAUGACGGUACCUGAGGAGGAAGCCAC
rnacentral:rRNA from 1 species